CCGACAGGAAGCAGGAAGUUGCUGUCCUCAGGCUGCAGGGUAACACUGUACGUUGACCUUCCUGCAGGCGGCCAUCGGCGGCGGCGACCUCCCGGCUCUGAGAGCGUUCACACACGAGAGCGACAGGAAGAAGGCGGCUCGCAAACGCAAAGCGGAUACUGAGUGCGCUCAGUCCGAGCAGCUGAAGAAGGAGUUCAGUAUGGACGAGGAGAGCAGCCUGUCGGCCGUCAUUAAGAGGAGGACGGCAACUCGUGAAGCCGACUUCAGCUCUCUGAUUGGCCAGAUGGAGGAGAAAUAUUGUAACAAGAAACCAAAGAAAGGAAAGAAGUGAAUUUAUUGAACGUCUUCUUCUGUGGUGUCUGCAGACAGAACAAACUGCUUCCUGUUUCCUGUUCUGAUGUUCAGACCUUCAGUCUGUGUUGUAAUGAUUUAAUAAGUUCAUCUUGUUCUGAAGUCUGUGAACGUUUCAUAUUUAAUGUUUCUGUAACUGAUGUAAAUGUAAAAGAUUAAAUGUCUCUCAGCUCAUUUUGUUUUUCAGGAGAAUUAAAAGGUU